rnacentral:tRNA from 1 species
GGAGAGGUGGCUGAGUGGUCUAAGGCGGCGGUCUCGAAAACCGUUGUGGCGCUUGCGUCACCGUGGGUUCGAAUCCCACCCUCUCCGCCA